UACGUAGGGGCAAGCGUUGUCCGGAAUAAUUGGGUGUAAAGGGAGCGCAGACGGAACUGCAAGUCUGAUGUGAAAGCCCGGGGCUCAACCGCGGGACUGCAUCGGAUACUGUAGAUCUGGAGUGCCGGAGGGGCAAGCGGAAUUCCUGGUGUAGCGGUGAAAUGCGUAGAUAUCAGGAGGAACACCGGCGGCGAAGGCGGCUUGCUGGACGGCAACUGACGUUGAGGCUCGAAAGCGUGGGGAGCAAACAGGAUUAGAUACCCCU
rnacentral:rRNA from 1 species